rnacentral:rRNA from 1 species
CCUACGGGAGGCAGCAGUGGGGAAUAUUGCACAAUGGGGGAAACCCUGAUGCAGCGACGCCGCGUGAGUGAAGAAGGAUUUCGGUAUGUAAAGCUCUAUCAGCAGGGAAGAAAAUGACGGUACCUGACUAAGAAGCCCCGGCGAACUACGAGCCAGCAGCCGCGGUAAUACGUAGGGGGCAAGCGUUAUCCGGAUUGACUGGGGGGAAGGGGGGCGUAGACGGCCACACAAGGUAGAAGUGAAAGCCCAGGGCUCAACCCUGGGACUGCUUUUGAAACUGCCAGGCUUGAGUGCAGUAGAGGUAAGCGGAAUUCCUAGUGUAGCGGUGAAAUGCGUAGAUAUUAGGAGGAACACCAGUGGCGAAGGCGGCUUACUGGACUGUAACUGACGUUGAGGCUCGAAAGCGUGGGGAGCAAACAGGAUUAGAUACCCCAGUAGUC